UUUACGUGUCCCCUCCAACCACAUCUUACCACGUGUCACAAACCCAAAACACCCCCUUCAAACCUCUCCUUCUCGAUUCGACAUUUUCAACUCUCUCUCACGCAAAAAUUGUCCAAACUUAACAUAAACAUAGUAUCAGAUACCAAGCAACCUUAAAGACAAACAAACAACAAAACACACAGAUAUUAUUCGCCAUGAUUCAAAUCGAAACCCAGAAGAAGCUAUUGAUCCUUGUAAUAACAUAUGGGUUGUUAUCGUGUACAACGGAAUCAAUUCGGUUCGAGCUGCAAUCGAGUCACUCAAAGUGCAUCGCCGAAGAGUUAAAGGUCAAUUCCAUGACCGUUGGCAAGUACAGCGUUAUCAACCCCAACGAAGACAUACCCUUACCCGAUUUUCACAAAGUCACCGUUCGGGUGACUUCGUCGAAUGGGAAUACUUAUCAUCAUGGGGACAAAGUGCCGUCGGGGAAGUUCGCGUUUAUGACAGUGGAGGCGGGAGAUUACAUGGCGUGUUUCUCGGCGCCGGAUCAUCAGCCUCCCAUCACUUCCACCAUUGAUUUCGAAUGGAAGACUGGUGUGGCUGCUAAGGAUUGGUCUAGUGUUGCCAAGAAAGGCCAAGUUGAUCUCAUGGAACUUGAACUGAAGAAGAUGUAUGAUACUGUUAUUUCCAUUCAGGAGGAAAUGUUUUAUCUCCGUGAAAGAGAAGAAGAAAUGCAGGUGCUCAACAAAACUACUAACAACAGGAUGGCCUGGUUGAGUUUUCUUUCCCUUAUUGUUUGUUUAUCAGUAGCAGGCUUGCAAGUAUGGCACCUGAAGACCUUUUUUGAGAAAAAGAAGCUCAUAUGAUUUUUUCUGGACAGGUUCCAUAGUUUUCUCGGGCUUAAGUGAUAGUUUAGUGGCAAUAGCAUCUUUUGUAAUACCCCAUAUAUGUGGUUCAAACUUCGAACCCCAUCUCCUCCUGUCCACUAUCUGCCUUUCAAAAAAAUUUACAGUUUCCCAUCUAUGAUUUUGUAGCAUAUUUCAGAAACCAUGUACUUCAAAAUAGAAUAAUUCUCAGGUCACAUUGUUAGAUCAAGCGGGGCUUUCUAUAACAGUGUGCAGAAGCUCCUCGUGGGUAUAGGUAUCUCAUAUCAAUGUAGGACGAUAUAGGAGCAAUAAAGUUUAGUUAUCUGUUAUUCAA